GUUUCAGCAGUUGGGUUACUGGGGACGGUGGCUAGUGUGUAACCAGUCUUUAAUUGUCAGUGGAAGUCUCAAGCUAAGAAUAAGGCUCUGCUGAUUUGGAUCCAUUUAUGGAGAGAGAACAAGCACUUCAAGGGAAAGAGAAAAAAGAAUGGCAAACUGGGAAAAUACUUUCUCUGUCAGCACUACGCUAUGAAUAGGAUUUGCCACUUUGCUCAGUAAUAAACAACAGUUCAUUCCUUCCCUGGUAGAGAAGCAAGCACAUAUCCUUGGCCAAAAACAUCCCAAGCAGCAAAGCCAAGUUUCCGUUUUCUCCUAAUGUUCCAUGGAGGUGGAGGGGCUGGAAUGAUGAAGUAUAUAGAGAGAGGGACAUGCGUGUGAAGAGCUGCUCUUCUACAGAAAUUGUUACACCCCUUUCUCUAAAGAGGAGACCCAUUGAUACCAGACAGUUGCAUCUUACAACUGGAAACUCCCUACAACUGCAUUAAAAACUCAUCAACAAAAGGUCUAAAGACUCAUUGUCAUUUGGCUCUCCUCCCUAUGAAGAUGAGUCAUGCAAGUGGACUCCCAUCAGCUGAGUUUGCCACUGAGAGCAUAUGGCAAGAGGGGAAUAAAAACACCAAACCAAAGGAAAUAAGGAUCUUUAUUCCACUUGGAAUUGGGUUGGAGGAGGCAAGAUGUGCCUGGGCAUCAGCAAUAGAUCCCUAGCUCCUUAGCUUGGAUUAGCCCUAGAGGAUAAACAGAGCUUGUUGAUUAUAGAAGCCUAUAUUACCUUUUGAAAUCUAAGACUGUAACUCAUUCACAUGUCUAUAUUU